rnacentral:tRNA from 1 species
GCCAGGAGAGCUCAGUGGUGAUGGGAUGAGAUCUGGACUCACACCUCUAGGCCUGGGUUCAAAUCCCAGGUCUAGCG